GACGAACCACACGAACGUUAUUCGGAAUCACUGGGCGUAAAGGGUGCGUAGGCGGGUCUUUAAGUCAGGGGUGAAAUCCUGGAGCUCAACUCCAGAACUGCCUUUGAUACUGAAGAUCUUGAGUUCGGGAGAGGUGAGUGGAACUGCGAGUGUAGAGGUGAAAUUCGUAGAUAUUCGCAAGAACACCAGUGGCGAAGGCGGCUCACUGGCCCGAUACUGACGCUGAGGCACGAAAGCGUGGGGAGCAAACAGG
rnacentral:rRNA from 1 species